GUGGGGAAUUUUGCGCAAUGGGCGAAAGCCUGACGCAGCGACGCCGCGUGGAGGAUGAAGGUCUUCGGAUCGUAAACUCCUGUCAGGCGGGACGAAGGGGCCGGCGGCCAAUACCCGACGGUCCUGACGGUACUGCCAGAGGAAGCCCCGGCUAACUCCGUGCCAGCAGCCGCGGUAAUACGGAGGGGGCAAGCGUUGUUCGGAAUUACUGGGCGUAAAGGGCUAGUAGGCGGCCUCGUAAGUCAGAUGUGAAAGCCCUCGGCUCAACCGGGGAACUGCAUCUGAAACUGCGAGGCUUGAGUCCGGGAGAGGGGGGCGGAAUUCCCAGUGUAGCGGUGAAAUGCGUAGAUAUUGGGAGGAACACCGGUGGCGAAGGCGGCCCCCUGGACCGGUACUGACGCUCAGAAGCGAAAGCUAGGGGAGCGAAUGGGAUUAGAAACCCCAGUAGUCC
rnacentral:rRNA from 1 species